GGCCGUUUGCAUCCCACGCAGGGUCCGUGCUGGUGGUCUGGGCUUUUCCCUGUGUGCUUUGUCAUCUGCCGUCCUGUUGCGGUGGUGGAUGUGACGUGGAUUCUCUCCCCAGUGACCAUCUGCGGAUGGGAGCAGUGCAGGCCAUCCUGUUCCACAGGACCCUUCUUCCUCUGAGCAGGCAUUGCCCAUGGACGUCAGGAUUGUCAAAGAAGCUCCGUUGUGUGCGGUCCUUUUUGCACAUGUGCCGCGGAUGGUGGGUGUAUGAUAAAUGUGAAUUCAUAGUAAGUGAAUGGCUGAUGGAGGCAAGGCAGGGCACUAAGAUCCAAACCCCUCAACUUGGGGUGUGCAGGCCUGGCCCUGGUCCUGCCUGUGCUUCUGGGAAUUGGGGACGGGUGUGACAGCAUAUUUGGUGGUGGGCAGACUGCAAGCUGACGUGAAUCAUGGCUCUGUUUGGCUGUGUUUGCCAGUCUCAGGGUGUUUCUGUUCCUGGGGACAGUCAUUACGGACCUGUGUCCAUGGUCCCAAAGACAGCAAGCAGUCCCCACAGAGAGGGGCACAGCACAGCGGAUAACAGGUGCUCAGGAUGCCACAGCCAGGAUGCGAGUGCUCCUUCUUCCUAGUACUCCCUACUUUCAUGCAGGUGCCUCCACGGCUCCCGGGAGGGACAGACAUCCCUGGGGACUCUGCAAAGGGGGUUCAGGCAGAGGGCAGACCUGCAUGCCCUCGCUGUGUAGCCCCGGGGACUGAUCCACCCUCUCUGAGCCCCUUGGCAUUCCCUCCCAUCUGCGGGGCUCUGGGGAACAUAACUUCAGGGAUGCCUGCAGGAGCCCUGACGCAUGACUCCUCAGUGAGUGCCACUUCCCACUGGCCUGUUCCUUGCAUAAUUUUCCACUGCCUCCUCCGGGCUGUUCUCUCCUUGGCAGUGAGGCGGGCGCUGUCCAGGCGGUGCGGCCCUGCUUUCUCUUCUGCCAUCCCAGGUGUUAGGGCCCUGGGCAGGGGGCUUCGGUCUCUGGGGUCCUGCACGCACUGGAGGAGGGGGCUUUGCAGAGAGCCGCGUGGACUCUGCUGCGUCUCAGCUGUGCACCUGCUUAGCGUGGUGGCUUGA
rnacentral:lncRNA from 1 species